rnacentral:rRNA from 1 species
AGUGAACGCUGGCGGUAGGCCUAACACAUGCAAGUCGAACGGCAGCACAGUAAGAGCUUGCUCUUACGGGUGGCGGGUGGCGGACGGGUGAGGCAUACAUCGGAAUCUACUUUUUCGUGGGGGAUAACGUAGGGAAACUUACGCUAAUACCGCAUACGACCUACGGGUGAAAGCAGGGGAGCUUCGGACUUUUCGCGAUUGAAUUAGCCGAUGUCGGAUUAGCUAGUUGGCGGGGUAAAGGCACACCAAGGCGACGAUGCGUAGCUGGUCUGAGAGGAUGAUCAGCCACACUGGAACUGAGACACGGUCCAGACUCCUACGGGAGGCAGCAGUGGGGAAUAUUGGGCAAUGGGCGAAAGCCUGAUCGAGCCAUGCCGCGUGAGUGAAGAAGGCCUUCGGGUCGUAAAACCCUGUUGUUGGGGAAGAAAAGCAGCAUGUUAAUACCCCGCUGUUCUGACGGUACCCAAAGAAUAAGCAACGGCUAACUUCGUG